GAGUUUGAUCCUGGCUCAGAACGAACGCUGGCGGCAGGCCUAACACAUGCAAGUCGUGCGCGCCUUCGGGUGAGCGGCGGACGGGUGAGUAACGCGUGGGAAUGUGCCCUUCUGUUGAGGAUAGCCCCGGGAAACUGGGAGUAAUACUCGAUACGCCCUACGGGGGAAGGAAGGAUCAGCCCGCGUCUGAUUAGGUAGUUGGUGGGGUAACGGCCUACCAAGCCUACGAUCAGUAAGGCUGGGUUUAGAGAGGAUGAUCAGCCACACUGGGACUGAGAAUCGGACCAGACUCCUUACGGAGGGCAGCAGUGGGGAAAUCUUAGACAAUGGGGGCAACCCUGAUCUAGGCAUGGCGGCGGGGAGUUGAUGAGGGCCCUAGGGUCGUAAAGCUCUUCGUCCAGGGAUGAUAAUGACAGUACCUGGUAAAGAAACCCCGGCUAACUCCGUGCCAGCAGCCGCGGUAAUACGGAGGGGGUUAGCGUUGUUCGGAAUUACUGGGCGUAAAGCGCGCGUAGGCGGAUCAGAAAGUUGGGGGUGAAAUCCCGGGGCUCAACCCCGGAACUGCCUCCAAAACUCCUGGUCUUGAGUUCGAGAGAGGUGAGUGGAAUUCCGAGUGUAGAGGUGAAAUUCGUAGAUAUUCGGAGGAACACCAGUGGCGAAGGCGGCUCACUGGCUCGAUACUGACGCUGAGGUGCGAAAGUGUGGGGAGCAAACAGGAUUAGAUACCCUGGUAGUCCACACUGUAAACGAUGAAUGCCAGCCGUCGGGUAGCAUGCUAUUCGGUGACACACCUAACGGAUUAAGCAUUCCGCCUGGGGAGUACGGUCGCAAGAUUAAAACUCAAAGGAAUUGACGGGGGCCCGCACAAGCGGUGGAGCAUGUGGUUUAAUUCGAAGCAACGCGCAGAACCUUACCAACCCUUGACAUCCUGUGCCACAUCCAGAGAUGGAUGGUUCCCUUCGGGGAACGCAGUGACAGGUGCUUGCAUUGUCCUGUUCGUCAGCUCGUGUCGUGAGAUGUUCGGUUUAGUCCGGCAACGAGCGCAACCCACAUUCUUCAGUUGCCAGCAGUUUCGGCUGGGCACUCUGGAGAAACUGCCCGUGAUAAGCGGUAGGAGGUGUGUGGAUGACGUCAAGUCUUCAUGGCUGUUUACGUAUUGGUCUUACACACGUGCUACAAUGGCAUCUACAGUGGGUUAAUCCCCAAAAGAUGUCUCAGUUCGGAUUGUUCUCUGCAACUCGAGAGCAUGAAGUCGGAAUCGCUAGUAAUCGCGUAACAGCAUGACGCGGUGAAUACGUUCCCGGGCCUUGUACACACCGCCCGUCACACCAUGGGAGUUGGUUCUACCUGACGGCCGUGCGCUAACCUUCGGGAGGCAGCGGACCACGGUAGGAUCAGCGACUGGGGUGAAGUCGUAACAAGGUAGCCGU
rnacentral:rRNA from 1 species